rnacentral:lncRNA from 1 species
GCGGGAGGCUGGGCCCACAGCAGACAGGCCAAGCUUUAGAGGCCUAGGAGCAGGAGAACCGGACUUUAGGCUUUUUAGGUCCUCAGCUUUUCCUUCUCAACUUUAUCCCACAGGCACUCAGCUCACUUUUUCAGCUCCCUGUGAGUAGGAAAGGGCUGUGUUCUUCAGCACCACACGGCCAUGGGCCUUGGGGCAAAGCUUUCCACACAUCCAGGCAGCUGCUGAGGAAGUUUAGACACCUCUGAUGAUUCAAGGACUCUUCAACCCCCCAGAGGCAAGCUGGCUUUAGU